AGCAACGUGGCGCAGGGGUUAGCGCGCCGGGCUCAUAACCCGGAGGACGUUGGAUCGAUACCAACCGUUGCUA